GAUGAACGCUGGCGGCGUGCCUAAUACAUGCAAGUCGAGCGAACGGACGAGAAGCUUGCUUCUCUGAUGUUAGCGGCGGACGGGUGAGUAACACGUGGAUAACCUACCUAUAAGACUGGGAUAACUUCGGGAAACCGGAGCUAAUACCGGAUAAUAUUUUGAACCGCAUGGUUCAAAAGUGAAAGACGGUCUUGCUGUCACUUAUAGAUGGAUCCGCGCUGCAUUAGCUAGUUGGUAAGGUAACGGCUUACCAAGGCAACGAUGCAUAGCCGAUCUGAGAGGGGGAUAGGCCACAGUGGAACUGAGACAAGGUCCAGACUACUACGGGAGGCAGCAGUAGGGAAGAGUCCACAAUGGGCGAAAGCCUGACGGAGCAAUGCAGCGUGAGUGAAGAAGGUCUUCGGAUCGUAAAACACUGUUAUUAGGAAAGAAAAGAAGCGGAAGGAAAUGUGCACAUCUUGACGGUACCUAAUCAGAAAGCCACGGCUAACUUCGUG
rnacentral:rRNA from 1 species